AUCAACCAAUCAGAAGACAUUAAUUUGCCAUGUCACAACAUCUUUGUCGAGUUAUUGGACCUUCCGUGUUGUUUCCAAAAAUUAAAUCAUGGCCUGUGUAAAGCCCAGCUGCCAAAAACCUAUCUCCUAAGCAUCUAUCAAUACGACUCUUCCACUUCGUCUUCUACAUCUCCAUUUACUGUAAAAGGCGUAACAGACCCCCCUGAUCAAUCAGUGAUACUCUUCAAUCCCCCUUUUAUGGUUUCGUUCCACCUCCCCUUCAUUCUCCACCUAUAUAAAUCACUACAUCUAAACCUAAAUUCAGACAAAAUCGGAAACUUCCACAGAAAGAGAUCACGCUAUAACCAUGAACUCUGCUAAAUCAAACGGAAAGUGUGUUCAUGAAGGAGAAGAUAAAUUGAGUUAUAUUUAGUUUUGUACAACAUCAUCUUUUACAGUGCCUUGAACAAGACCUGAACCAAGAUCGCUUGAUCUCAUGGAGCCAACAUAACCAAACUGAUAAAGAAGGAAGAAGGCUGAUCAUACAGGCAUGCGCAAUUGCCUCCGGCGCCGUCGUCUUCUCUGAGUCCUCCUUAUCGACUUGGGAGGACAAGGAUUCAUCUUUAGAUUCCUGUUGUGUUGGAGUUUAUGCCUUUUGAAACUUCCUCUAAGCAUCUCUUCCACUGGGAUAUCAAGCCAAUGAAGUAGGCGAGGAGGGUGAGAGCGGAUUGCGGCAACACAGAUCGCGUUUGUUUUCUCCUUUCAAUUUGCUCUUCCUUCUCUAUUUUGUUUGUUCUCCCUUCCUUCUUUCGGUUUGGUCAAUUAUGUUGUUGUUUCUUUUGAGAUUUUCGAGUUUAUCACUAUCUUCGAAAGUGGUUGUGUUGCUAACCAUGGCGUACGUCUUUCUUCGAGUGUACAGCGAAGGCAGCAGUGGUAGGGUUUACCAGUGUGGAAUUCCAGAAAGGCCUCUCGAUUGUUAACCUUUAUAUAGAGGAUAAAGUUGCUCAUGAUUUCUGAAACAACACACACUUCUUCUUCUUAAUCCUCAAAGAUGAAUCUACCAAGUCUCCUCUCCAGGUUAAUGGACUCUAAACAGAGCACUUGAAAGUUGAUUUUUUUUGGUGUGUCAUGUGUGCAACAGCAGUUUUUAUCGUUUCACACUAGGCUUAUUAUCCUUUAGUAAAGAGCUAACUGAUAUGAAUUAGCUUACUAUAAGAAAUGUUAAUGGAAUUAACUUAACAGCAAAUUGCAUUUAAAAAACGUAGACCUUCAAACAUAUAUAUGGAUUGAACAUAGAUUCUGUAGAUAUAAAGGUUGUAGAGUUUCUUUUAAAUGCAUUUAUCAUUCAUCAUUUUAAUGUUUCUACUUAUCUUAUGGAUUAUUUGAUUGCCAAGUUCAGUAAGUAAAUUUUGUAUGACUUUCUUAAUGUUACAAACCCAUUAUCUCUAUCGAACUAACAUAAUUUUUUUUUAUCUUGAUUACCACUGCUCAGAUAUGUGAUGUUUGAUCGAUCACCAAUCACCAAUCACCAUCCUAUUCUCCAGGUGGGCGUGCUUGAUGGCCAUUAGUGAAGCUCUGUCAAGAACGACUAUAGUGGAAAAUGAAUUUUUGAAUGAGUACGAAGGUGGUGGAAAAUAUAGCAUCGGUGAUCAUGGUUAUUGCUACAGCUGUGGUGGUGGUUGAUACGCGAAAUCAUAUAUAACUAUAUAUACUUCAAAUGUAUUUAUUUUUAGUUUUAUCUAUGUUCUAAGUUUAGUUAUCUAAUUAUUUAAUUUUAUUGUGUAUAUCAUGCUUAUCUGGCAUGUUUAAUGGCUUGAAACACAGUUUUGUUUAUUUGUUAUAUUUAAUUUUUCUCAUUGAUCAUAUAUAAAAAAAUACAUAAUUUCU